rnacentral:tRNA from 1 species
GUUAGAGUGGCAGAGACCGGUAACUGCAUGAAACUUAAGCUUUUAACACAGAGGUUCAAUUCCUCUCUUUAACA